rnacentral:rRNA from 1 species
GCCGCGCAUCCGGGGGCUGCCGCCCCCGGGCGCAGGUCCGGCUGGGGAGCGGAACGGCAUGGGAGGGCCGGCCGCAGCGGGUGACAGCCCCGUACGCGAACCCAGACCGGACGGCGCGACGCGGUCCCUGAGUAGGGCCGGGCACGUGAAACCCGGUCCGAACCUGGGUGGACCACCAUCCAAGCCUGAGUACUACCCUGUGACCGAUAGCGCACCAGUACCGUGAGGGAAAGGUGAAAAGCACCCCGGGAGGGGAGUGAAACAGUACCUGAAACCGUGCGCCCACGAGCAGUCGGAGCACCUUUAUGGUGUGACGGCGUGCCUUUUGUAGAAUGAGCCAGCGAGUCGCUGGCGCGGGGCGAGGUUAACCGAAAGGGAGCCGGAGCGAAAGCGAGCCUUAACAGGGCGACUUGAGUCCCGCGCCGCGGACGCGAAGCCGGGUGAGCUAUCCGUGGGCAGGCUGAAGCGGGGGUAAGACCCCGUGGAGGGCCGAACGCACGUCGGUUGAAAACGGCGGCGAUGACCUGCGGAUAGGGGUGAAAGGCCAAUCAAACCCGGAGAUAUCUCGUUCUCCCCGAAAUAGCUUUAGGGCUAGCGUCGCGCGUUCACCGCCGGAGGUAGAGCACCGGAUGGACGAGGGGGCUUCGCCGCCUACCGAAUCCAACCGAACUCCGAAUGCCGGCGGCCCAGAGCGCGGCAGUCAGAGCAUGUGGGCUAAGCUGUGUGCUCGAGAGGGAAACAGCCCGGACCGCCCGCUAAGGUCCCCAAGUUCCAGCCGAGUGGCAAAGGAUGUGCGUCCGCCCAGACAACCAGGAUGUUGGCUUAGAAGCAGCCAUACAUUCAAAGAGUGCGUAACAGCUCACUGGUCGAGUGGACAUGCGCCGACAAUACACGGGGCUAAGCUGGACACCGAAGCGGCGGGAUUUUAAUUCAUUAGAAUCGGUAGGGGAGCUUCCCAUGGGCGGAGAAGCCGGAGGGCGACCGACGGUGGAGCGCAUGGGAGUGAGAAUGCUGGCAUGAGUAGCGAGAGACGAGAGAGUAACUCGUCCGCCGUGAACCCGAGGUUUCCUGGGCAAGGCUAAUCCUCCCAGGGUCAGUCGGGGGCUAAGGCGAGGCCGGGAGGCGUAGCCGACGCGCAGCAGGCAGACAUUCCUGCACCGCGCACGCGGCGCUACGACCGACGGGGCGACGGAUGGGGGUGGCUCGGCGGGGUUCUGGACGUCCCCGUGAUGGAGCGCGGCCCGCGGACCAGGGAAAUCCGGUCCGCAUUGAGGGCGAGGCUCCGGACGAAGCGACUGAGCGAAGCGAGUGAGCCCGAGGUCCCUAGAAAAACCCCUAGGCAGGCGCGUGCGCGCCCGUACCGCAAACCGACACAGGUGGGUGGGUAGAACAUACCGAGGCGAUCGGGUCAACCAUGGUCAAGGAACUCGGCACAAUGGCCCCGUAACUUCGGGAGAAGGGGUGCCCGCGCGUACGUGAACCGGCUUGCCCGGGGAGCGGAGGCGGGCCGCAGUGGAGAGGCCCAAGCGACUGUUUACCAAAAACACAGGACUCUGCAGAAGCCGCAAGGCGACGUAUAGGGUCUGACGCCUGCCCGGUGCCGGAAGGUCACGCGGAGGAGUUAGCCGAUUCGGCGAAGCCCCGAAGCCAAGCCCCGGUAAACGGCGGCCGUAACUAUAACGGUCCUAAGGUAGCGAAAUUCCUUGUCGGGUAAGUUCCGACCUGCACGAAUGGUGUAAUGAUCCGGACGCUGUCUCGGCCAUGAUCUCAGUGAAAUUGUAGUAUCGGUGAAGAUGCCGAUUACCCGCGAUGGGACGAAAAGACCCCGUGAACCUUUACUACAGCUUAGCGUUGGGCUUGGUCAUCCGACGUGUAGGAUAGGCCGGAGGCUAUGAAGGGGGCGCGCCAGCGUCCGUGGAGCCGCCGUUGAAAUACGGCCCUUUGGCUGUCCGGGCUCUAACGCGCUAGUGUUGCGCGGACACCGCUUGGCGGGUAGUUUGACUGGGGUGGUCGCCUCCAAAAGCGUAACGGAGGCUUCCAAAGGUGCCCUCGGGCCGAUUGGUAACCGGCCUUUGGAGUGCAAUGGCAUAAGGGCGCUUGACUGGGAGGGAGACAUCCCGAGCAGGCAGGAAACUGGGGCAUAGUGAUCCGGCGGACGUGCGUGGAAACUCCGUCGCUCAAAGGAUAAAAGGUACUCCGGGGAUAACAGGCUGAUCCCCCCCAAGAGCUCAUAUCGACGGGGUGGUUUGGCACCUCGAUGUCGGCUCGUCA